rnacentral:tRNA from 1 species
GGGGAUUUAGCCCAGUGGUAGAGCACUUGCCUAGCAAGCACAAGGCCCUGGGUUCGGUCCCCAGCUCCG